GAAAAGACCCUGAUGCUGGGAAAGAUUGAAGGCAGGAGGAGAAGGGGAUGACAGAGGGUGAGAUGGUUGGAUGGCAUCACCGACUCAAUGGACAUGAGUUUGGGUAGGCUCUGGGAGUUGGUGAUGGACAGGGAGGCCUGGCGUGCUGUGGUUCAUGGGGUCGCAAAGAGUCGGACACGACUGAGCAACUGAACUGAAUUGCGGAACUAAGAUCCUGGAAGCCACACAGCAUUGCCAAAAAAUAAAAAGACUUUGUCUGCUCAGAAUGUGUACAUGGAGUCUUCCCCAGGCCCCAUUGCUUGAAUCAGUUCAUGCCUCCUCUUUGUCUGGAAGAAAAUCUACCAGUUAUUAAUGGAAAUAGGUGAUUUUCAUACCUGCUGGUGAACUCCUUUGCAAACUGACCGAUUUUCUGAGAUUCUCAAGGACACAUCCUGGCAGUCUCCCAUCUGUCGACUAGCUCAGAUUUUUCAGUGACAAAACCGUGUUUCAAGCCAGGAUGUCCUGACAGGAAACCUGAGAAAGGCAACACUCCUUCCUGCCACUGUGUUUUAUAUGGAUCUGUGGAAGCCACAGUGGUGCAGCAGCUUCUGGCUACUUCUUUCAGUCUGUGGUGUUCAUUUAUCCUCAGCCUGGUUGGGGUUUUCCCUGAGAAUAAGCCAGGGCAGAUGAAUCUCAUGGUGUCAUUCCUGGGGAUGCUGUACAUGUGUAAUACAUGUGGGCCUCCAGUCUUUGUGGUGCCAUCUGCUCUGUUCCCAGCACAUUUAGCAGCACUCGCUCAAUGAGAGUGUUCCAGCCCAGUACUCUGCGGGGGUGGGGCUGGUUAUAUGGUUCUAGACGCCUGAUUCCUUGCCAAGCUCAACGCUGCUGAGAAUGACUUGCUUUUUGACUCACGUUUGAUUUGAGCAGAACCUUUCAUUGAACGCACCUGGCAUACAUCUCAAAUUUCCUGCAUAUUAGCCAAGGAAUUCUAGCUACUGAAAGCUGAACACUAUGACACUGUUAUAACUAAUUAACACCCUGAAAGACACUGAAAUGAACCCAGCAGGCCAGCUGGCAGGAAGUCAGACUGCGGUCCUUGCCUCAGAGGAUGACACAGGCCAAAGGAGAGAAGGAAAACAAGGCAGCCAGAGCAAUUAGGAGUAAGGAAAGAGGGCGUGCUUGGCCUGGCCCUGCUUGCCUGAUCUCUGUGUUGAGCUGUUGUUCGAGCCACUGGAGGAGUCCUCAGGCCUACUACCCCAUGUGUCUCAUUGAAAAGCGGAUGCAGACUGCCUUCCAAAGAUGUCUUAAGGCAUGUGGAAGAGCAGAAAGGACAAAGUUUUAUUUUAUUUUGCUUUUAAAAUGUUUUUGUGUUUACUUUUUUGAAUUGGUAAUUCAUAUACAUGGCUCAAAACUAGAAUAGUAUGAAAAGGUAUAUAACGAGAAAUCAGCGUGACUGAGCGACUGAACUGACUGCGAAAAGUCUCUCUCCUGUUCCUGUACCCAUCUGCCCGUUUCCCCCAUCCUAAACAGAAAACUCUUGUUACUAGGUUUUGUUUAUCCCACUAGUGAUAUUUCUGUGCAUGUGUGUGCAUGCUCAGUCCCUCAGACAUGUCUGACUCUUUGCAACCCCAUGGACCAUGGCCUGCCAGGAUCCUUGGCCCAUAGAAUUUUCCAGGCAAGAAUACUGGAUACUGGAGUGACUUGCCAUUUCCUACUCCAGGAGAUCUUCCCAACCCAGGGAUUGAACCUGUGUCUCCUGCAUCAGCAGGCAGAUUCUUUACCACUGAGCCACCUGAGAAGCUUUUUAUGCAUAUACAAGCUAAAAUAUAUAUUCUUCUUUACUCCAUUCUAACAAAUGGUGCCAUGAUGUACAGACCUUUUGCACCUUGUUGGGGUCCCCAUCCUCCACCCCUACUUAACACUGUCCUGGAAACAUUUCCUUCUACGUGUACAGAGAGCAUUCUAAGUUUUAUUUUUGUGGCUGCAGAGUUUUGUACUGUAUUAAUGUAGUGUAAUUUAUCUGGUUCCCCUGAAGGAGGUUUAGGUUAUUUCCAGAGUUUUGGUAUUAUGAAUAAGGGCAUGGACCUUAAAAACAGAUGUGACUUCAAAUCCUAGUCUGAUGCUUGACUUUAGGCCUUCAUUGCCUCAUCUGUAAAGUGGGGAUUAUUUUAUAUUUUUAUUCUGCCUCAUAACAUUAUUGUGAAAGAUUAAGUAAUAUAUAAAGUACUUGAGAAAUAGUAGGUACCCAGUGAAACCAAUAUAUUAUACCUUGCAACCAAGCAUAUUAGAAUUUUAUCUUGAAAAAGAAGAUACUUUGAUUACUCCUUAUUAGAGUAAUCACAUAAAUUUAAAUACUUUUUUUCAGAACCAAUGUAUAUUUAUUAUUUUUAAAAAUCCAGAUAAGUAAAAAGAGGAAAAUACAGAUAGCCUAUAGUGGCACUAGUGGUGAAGAACCUGCCUGCCAAUUCAGGAGACAUAAGAGACAUGGUUUUGAUCCCUGGGUUGGAAGGAAGAAGAUCCACUGGAAGAGGGUGUGGCAACCCACUCCAGUAUUCUUGCCUGGAGAAUCCCCUGGGCAGAGGAGCCUGGCAGGCUGCAGUCCAUAGGGUCGCAAAGAGUUGCACAUGACUGAAGUGACUCAGCACAUAAUUGUACCACUGAAAAAAAUUACUGAUAUGUUUUGAUCUAUCUUUUGAGUUAUUUCUCUAACCAAAUAUGCAUAUAGUAUAAAAUUCUGAAUGGAAUGGUGCAGUACAUUUUUAUAACCUGCCUUCUUCAAUUAACAGUGCUUGCAAUCAUCUCUCCAUGUCAUAAAAUAUUUUUCUCAUUGUUUUUAAUGACUACCUAGUAUGUCAUCAUUUGGAUUUACAAUAAUUUAUAAUUUAUUAAAAAUUAUCUCUGGGUAGAGAAUUUACUUAUACAUAAAUAUUUAAUUUCUCUAGAAUUAAUGGUGAUUCAUGAUAUGAGUUAAGUAAUCUAAAUUUUUUUUUUUUUUUACAAAUGGUUAAUUAGCAACUUGCCUGACAUCCUUUAUUGAACAAGCCACACUUACCCCACCAGUCUGGAAUGCUAUCUUAAUCAUAUUCUAAAUCCUUAUAUAAGCAUAGAUAGAACUGAUUUUAGAUUUUAUUCUAUUCUGUAGAUUGACUUCUCUGUUCUCAUGUAGUAAUCACAAUUUCAUUAAAGCACACUUAAAUAUC